rnacentral:tRNA from 1 species
GAGAGCAUGCCGGAGUGGUCAAACGGGGCAGACUCAAAAUCUGUUAGCUUAUGCUUACGGGGGUUCGAAUCCUCCUGCUCUCA